UACGAAGGGGGCUAGCGUUGCUCGGAAUUACUGGGCGUAAAGGGCGCGUAGGCGGACGUUUAAGUCGGGGGUGAAAGCCCGGGGCUCAACCUCGGAAUUGCCUUCGAUACUGGACGUCUUGAGUACGGGAGAGGUGAGUGGAACUCCGAGUGUAGAGGUGAAAUUCGUAGAUAUUCGGAAGAACACCAGUGGCGAAGGCGGCGACCUGGGCCAAGAUUGACGCUGAGGUGCGAAAGCGUGGGGAGCAAACAGG
rnacentral:rRNA from 1 species